rnacentral:lncRNA from 1 species
GUUUCGUCCACCUCUCACCUUUGACGACGCGAAUCAAGAAUGAGGAGGUGCUGCGAUCGAACGACUGCGAGGAAACACACCCGCUCUCAUGGCAUUCCCAGUAAACUGAGAAGACGUGAUUAAACCUCAGGAUCUCCUACUAAUAGAGAAAUAGUCUGGAAUUGUCAAGAGUCUGAAAGCACAGAAUAAGACUGCAGCUAGAGCAAUUUAGGCGCCAUAGUUUGUCAAAACAGGUAAGGGGAAUAAAGGGGAUGACACGAAGAGAUGUGCAAAGAAUCUGAAGAAUUCACCUGAAAAGGAUACAACCUCCUCCUGGAAGGCAGAGGAGUAAAUAGGGAAUUGGAAAUUAAUUCCUUAUUUCUGCACAUGCACAGAAUCUGGGCCCAGGUGACUUAUGGAACCUUUAUAGAGACCAAGGUGACUGACAUUCAUGGGAAAGGGGGUAGAGGGGCAAGAACUGACUGUUCAUCAAAAAUUAUUAGAUGAGUGUGUCCACGACACCAGGAGAUAUGUUGAAUCAUGGACAGGGACCAGCAUAUCCACUAAGCUCUAUAUAUCUUGAUGGUGCAGGAUCCAAGUGGGAUGCAACAACAAAUUCCUGCCCAUCCUACUGCU